AAAUAGGCUGUGAAGAGGAGGAGUAGCUUUCAAACACCGUCCAGGGAGGAGAUGGCGCGAUUGGGAACAUCUCUACGGUUAAGGGAAGUGAAGGACACCUUGGAGCCUUUGCCUGAAUUAAGUAGGGUAAAACGUUAUCUGCGUUAAAGACUUGAGUGGGUAUAGCCAAUUAGGGUGGCACCGCGGAAAUUAUCCGUCCCUUGC
rnacentral:ncRNA from 1 species